rnacentral:misc_RNA from 1 species
GAACGACGGGGAAGAUUACGAACGAACAUUCUUUGGUGUCGCUGAGAUCCGAGGGGUGGAAUGGCGGAGCAUUUGGCAUCCAUAUUCGGGACGGAGAAGGACAGGGUUAAUUGUCCUUUCUACUUCAAGAUCGGGGCCUGUCGGCACGGUGAUAGGUGUUCACGUUUACACACGAAGCCUAGUAUAAGCCCCACCCUCUUGCUUUCUAAUAUGUACCAGAGACCCGACAUGAU